AUGGCCAAUAUCCACCACGUCAACAACGUUGCACAGAUGCUCGGUGUCGUAGUCCAGUUCGUUGGAGUCGACCUCAAUGCAGCAGCCGGCCACACCGUGUUUAUCCACGGCGUGAACUCCAUCAACGACUGCGCUGAGAUGCUGCGCCACGCUGAGUACCUCGAAGACAGAGGUGCAGUCGUCUCCAACGUAGAUUCACUCCGUCUGCUGGUUCGUGCCAACGAUCUCAUCCUUGACGUCUCUGAUCAUCUGGUGGGGAGCCUCGUCUUCGAUCCGAUCCACGACGUCAACGACCUUCGCCUUCGACGCCUUGGAGCAUUCGCCACUUGCAUCGACGAUCUGGCGACCGGCCUUCAAGCGGGCGUCUUCCACGACUUCGCCAAUGUCUUCGCCGCCAGGAUCACUGAGGCCAUCGCUGGAUUCGGGGACGGCCUCUUGACAGCUCAACAGGUCAUCAUAGAGGCGGUGGGUGCGUCUGCCAAUCUUGACCAUGACACUUUCCACACAUAUAUUCCAAUCCCGUAG
rnacentral:rRNA from 1 species